GAUGAACGCUGGCGGCGUGCCUAAUACAUGCCAGUCGAGCGAACGGACGAGAAGCUUGCUUCUCUGAUGUUAGCGGCGGACGGGUGAGUAACACGUGGAUAACCUGCCUAUAAGACUGGGAUAACUUCGGGAAACCGGAGCUAAUACCGGAUGAUAUUUUGAACCGCAUGGUUCAAAAGUGAAAGACGGUCUUGCUGUCACUUAUAGAUGGAUCCGCGCUGCAUUAGCUAGUUGGUAAGGUAACGGCUUACCAAGGCAACGAUGCAUAGCCGACCUGAGAGGGUGAUCGGCCACACUGGAACUGAGACACGGUCCAGACUCCUACGGGAGGCAGCAGUAGGGAAUCUUCCGCAAUGGGCGAAAGCCUGACGGAGCAACGCCGCGUGAGUGAUGAAGGUCUUCGGAUCGUAAAACUCUGUUAUUAGGGAAGAACAUAUGUGUAAGUAACUGUGCACAUCUUGACGGUACCUAAUCAGAAAGCCACGGCUAACUACGUG
rnacentral:rRNA from 1 species